AUUGAACGCUGGCGGCAGGCCUAACACAUGCAAGUCGAACGAGUGGCGGACGGGUGAGUAAUGUCUGGGAAACUGCCUGAUGGAGGGGGAUAACUACUGGAAACGGUAGCUAAUACCGCAUACCAUCGGAUGUGCCCAGAUGGGAUUAGCGAGUAGGUGGGGUAAAGGCUCACCUAGGCGACGAUCCCUAGCUGGUCUGAGCGGAUGACGAGACCCACUGGAAAUGAUACACGGGCCAGACUCCUCCGGGAGGCAGCAGUGGGGAAUAGUGCACAAUGGGCGCCAGCCUGAUGCAGCCAUGCCGCGUGUAUGAAGAAGGCCUUCGGGUUGUAAAGUACUGGCAGCGGGGAGGCGUUACCCGCAGAAGAAGCACCGGCUAACUCCGUGCCAGCCGCCGCGGUAAUUC
rnacentral:rRNA from 1 species